GAAUAGAUAUAUAAUACAAUAAUUAAUAAUUUUAUUUUAUAUCUGUGUGCCAGUUUUACCAGUUGUUAACCAGAUUUUCCUUUUAGCAUUACUAGCGCGGUUUUAUGUCCGUUUUUACAAUCAUAGUUUAAACUAGGGUUACAGAUUUUACCGGCCGAAUUCGGCGGUUUAACCUUGGUUUAACUAAUUGUAAUACGGACCCUAAGUGGAUACUUUUAGAACUAGAUCAUGAAGGUAUGUGAUGUGUUGACGUGUUGUAUCACAUUUCAUAACUACAAUAUUCAUCUCGUGUCUACUGUUCUGUCCUGUAUAUCUUAGUCCGUGGAUGGCAAGGUUUUUAGAUUAUAAUUUAAAAACUUUGCGUGAAUGGAACCCUGACGUAUUGUAUCAAUACAAAAAAAUGUUACCGAUAUCAGCGACAAGUCACCGAAAUAGGUGUUCGAUAUGCACACGCGCAACGCAACUUUUCGCAUAAUCAUCCAUAAGUUACAACGGAACCUAUGAAUAAUUAUGCGAGGAGUUUCAUCGCGCAUGCGUAUUUAUCGUAUUCGGAGAUUCGUCGCUAAUAUCAGCAAUAAAAUUAUACGCGGCUGUGGCUCCAUCCAUAGUAAUCAUAGUAUAUUAUUAUCUAACGUUGGCCUGUUAUGGACUAUGGUACGGAUAAUAUAUAUAUAUUAUCUUAGUCCGUGGUAUAUGGCAACAUGACUUCAACGUUCUUAUGGGAAAUUAUAUUUAAUUAUAUUAUAGGUAUUAUAUUUUUAAAUUAUUGGUCAUCCUGUUAUUUACUGUAUGAGUAUGACAAUGCUGCCCCUACCAUCACCACACAGACUUAUAUUUCUAUAAGUCUAUGCACCACCAUUAUCUAUCAUUAGAUUUUACUGAUUACUGAUUAGUGAGUGAUUUUUUUUCCUAGAAACCUCGUGGCCUCGUGCACACUGCUCUACUGCACUACUGCAGUAUUGAGUAUUGCGAUUGCCUAAUGCUGCCUAGUCGCCCUAGUCAGUAGUCGCUUCGCGUUCGCAAUUCGGAUGUUCAGUCUAGUUAUAUGAACUCUUUUCUUUUGUUUGAUUGUUUAUUCUUUAAUUCUACUGCCUCGCUAGACCCGUGAUGACGUUAAUUUAUAUCCAACACGAGCUUGAUUGGAAAAUGGCAUUCAUCAAAAUCGCACGAUUUACAGCAAUCGUCCAGUUACAUCGCACACCAUGUUUUGCACGUGUAUCUCAGACCGAUAGUCACAUAAUACAUAUAUAAUAUAUAUAUAUAUAUUUAUAUAUGCGAUUAUACCAACAAUUUUGACUUCAGUAACGUUUAAAUCUUUGGCCUGUGUACCCAGUGAUGUGAAAUUAUUGUCCGUUGAAGUGUAAGUAUACACAAUAUAUACCAAUGGCUUGCUGUAUGCUAGACUACUGAAGGUCUUAAUACUUCCAAAUACAUAAAAGCAAUCAUAACUCAGACAAUUUGGACUAGCUAUCUCUCUACUGUAUCAAAAAACGCCAUCACAGUUAAAGAUUAAAGACCGUUUUCCCUAAGAAACAUUUGAAAGUCAGAUGAUAAUAUUGAUGAUGGUCAUAUGUACAGAAAUUUCUUCUUUGCAAAUAAAAUCCACUUAGCAUCAAGUGCUAAUUAUCGUGAAAUGCAUAAAUGUCAUGAUAGAUUGUAAAAAUGGAUGUCACUAAUAUCACUAUUUUUGCAAACACUAAUCUAGAUUUUAAUGUUACUAACAAUAUUCAAGAAAAACAAUUUCAAUGAUAAUUUGAUGGUUCUUGUAGAUAAUACAUUAGUAAAUAUUAUCAUAGUUAACAAUUAUUAUAAUUUAUCAAUUAAAGUUACUUAAAAGUAUUAAAAA